UACAGAGGGUGCGAGCGUUAAUCGGAAUUACUGGGCGUAAAGCGUGCGUAGACGGUUAUUUAAGUCGGGGUGUGAAAGCCCCGGGCUCAACCUGGGAAUUGCAUUCGAGACUGAAUAGCUAGGGUACGGUAGAGGGAAGUGGAAUUUCCGGUGUAGCGGUGAAAUGCGUAGAUAUCGGAAGGAACAUCAGUGGCGAAAGCGACUUCCUGGACCAGUACCGACGUUCAGGCACGAAAGCGUGGGGAGCAA
rnacentral:rRNA from 1 species